rnacentral:lncRNA from 1 species
UUUUUUUUUUUGGUAUCAGGGAUUUAACCCAGGGGUGCUUUACCACUGAGACACAUCCCCAGCCCUUUUCAUUUUUUGGUUUUGAAGUAGGGUCUUGCUAAAAUGCUUAGGGCCUCACUAAGUUGCUAAGGCUGGCCCAGAACUUGCGAUUCUCUUGCUUCAGCCUCCCAAGUUGCUGGGAGGACAGGUUUGCACCACCUCGUCUGGCAAAACUGACACUUUUGGGGGCGUGUAUUGGAGAUCAAACCCAGGGUCUUGCUCCCAUGCUAGGUGAGCACUCUACCACUAAGCUACAUCCCCAGCCCCACUGAGGGCAGUAUUUUAAGCAAUGAAAUCACUAAAUCACUAACUAGAGAGUAGUAUGCAGGGCAAAAGAUUGAAUGACCAGUUAGAGGAAGCUGCAUGAUCUUAGAUGAGACAUAAUGGAGGUUUUGGCUAGACCAUAGUGUAGAGAAAAGAGUUCAUUAAUUUCAAAUUUAUGCAGCAAUAAUGUAGUAGCCAAUAUUUAAUGCUUACUGUUUGUAAGACAUUACUUUGCAUACUUUCAGUAUACUGACAUUUAAUCUUCACAUCAACUUGUAUGGAGGGGAAAUACAUGACAUAUAAUAGCAAAUAUUUUUUGGCUAAUCUUUGUGCUAAUGUCUUCAUGGGUAUGAUCCCUGCUUCAUUCUUGCACAAUUAUCAUUUUAUUCUCAUUUUACACAUGAAGAAAUGAAAUCUUAAAGAAGUUAAGUAACUUGCCUUAGGUUACACUCAGUGGCAAAGGUCAGACUUUGAACUGAUUUAAUUCUAAAUUCUUUGUUUUUAAAUUACUAAUAUAGAUGGUUUCAGAUGCUGAACAUAGGGUGAGGCAUUAUGGAGGAUUAAAGAUGAAACCUGGUGUCUGGCUGGUAUCUGCCACUGAUGAAACAAGUGGAAGGAGGGGUUAGGAUGAGUUACAAGUAAAGAGUUUGAGGUGAUAGAGGGACAUUGAAGUGGACAAAUGCAAAGAGCACUUACCUCUGUAGAGCUGAAGCACAGGAGAAGGCUGAAUUCUGGAUGUAGAUUUGGCACAGACUAUGCUUCAAACAAUGGGAAUAUUUGAGCUGCUGGGGCGCAUUAGUGUGAGAAGAGCAGAAAGUUUAGCUUUGAACCCUGGUGGUAUGUAAAUAUUAAAGAAGGGAAAGAUGAUCCUGAAAAACUAAGGAAUUGACUGGUUUAAAACAUUUCCUUCCUUCCUUCCUUCCUUCCUUCCUUCCUUCCUUCCUUCCUUCCUUCCUUCCUUCCUCCCUCCCUCCCUCCCUCCCUCCCUCCCUCUCUCUCUUUCUUUCCUUCCUUCCUUCCUUUUUCUUUCUUUUCUUUUUUUUUUCUUUAAAGGAAACUCUGUGGCUUUCCAGUGCAAAGAGAUGCACUAGCAGCAAAACAGUAUGGUUUGGUUUGAUAGGUUUCAUCUUUAGAUAUGUUCAUUUUUCUUGCAAUCUUGCUACAGUUUUUGGAUCUUGCUCUGUCCCCUGGAACCCUAGAGGGCAUGACUUAAAACUUUCAUUUAGUUCUCCUUUCCUUUGGUAUAAAACUAAGGUUCAGUCUUUCCCAAGGACCACUUCAUCAUUGGGCCAAAUGGACAAUAGCUCAUUUUCUUCCUACUAUUGGGCCUGUGCCUGACUGUCCUAUCUAAUCCUAUUCUAUUUCUCUCUUGCUUGUUCCUUGACCUUUGUAUGUCUUUUCUAAUUCUUCAACUAAGUCUCUAGUUGCUAUCACUCCAGACCUGUACUACCUAGCAGCCUAUCUAAAAUUAUGUCUCUGUUUAUGUUUUCCUGUUGAAUUUUGUCCAAGAGUGGUAAGCAUAGCCAGUAGGUUCACCCUGUGGCUGAUAGGAUGCCACUUAAUGUGAAGUCUAUCCUCCAUCUGUCCCUGCAGAACAGAUUCCUAGCACACUCAAGAUAAGCAUCCUGGAGGACUGGCAAGACUGGCCUGGGAACCCACAUCCCUUUUAAUCUUUCCUCUCCUGUUUUUUAUCCUUUUGCAUACCCUGAUUGCAACAGAACUAUUGCCACAUGAACCCAGACUUUCAGGGUUCAAAGGGAACAGUGCAGGUUGGAGGCUUGUCCUUACACCGUAGCUCUCCGCUGUAUUGCAAGUACAACAUCGAGCACAGAGAAUAGUAGGUUCGCAACACAGCAGUCAUGGUAGCCAACAUGAAUAGAAGAGAUGCCCUCUGAUGGCAGAGCUGGCCCCCAGCCAGGAGUCCACCUCCAGCAAGAGAGCAUGCACCUACAAUUUGUACCCCAACCCUAACCUACCUUGUACAUUUAUUAUUUUUUAAAUUUUUCGUUUAAAUGCUGGGGAUGUAGCUCAGUAAUAGAGUGAAUGCUUAGCAUGUGUGAGGCCCAGCACUUCCAAAACAAAGUUGAUUGCCACCACUGAAGCCAACACAAAAACCCAAACCUGACUUAAACAAAACAAAAAAAAAUUGGUUUAUUUUAUAAGAGCUUAUAUAACUUUUUUCCCCCCCUGUACAUCUAUAGUAGGCAAGUGCUGUACCACUGAGUCUGAUUUUGGUUUUUUUAAAUCCAGUCAUUUGAAGUCUACAACCUGCUUCUAGCUUGUUUUAGAGGGAAAUUCCUAGGAGGAAACCUGGCUCAAUUUGAUUCUCAUCAUGUCUUCUUUUUACUUUUGAGAAGCCAGGCCCCCAAAGCUCAUGCUGAACCUGAUUAAUGUCUGACUGUAGAUGCUUGGUAACUCAGAUCUGACCCCACCUUUGAACUCUAACUCAUUCUAGUAAUGGUACCUCAUUGCCAGUUGCUUUAUAAGGCACAUCCUUCAUAGUGUCACAUGAAAUUGGUGUUUUUUUGUUUUUUUUUUGACAAUACUGGGGAUUGAACCCAGGAAUGCAUACCAAUGAGCUAAAUCUCCAUCCCUUUUUAUUUUGAGAUAGGAUCUUGCUAAAUUGCUGAGGCUGGCCUCGACCUUUCAAUCUUCGUCCCUCAGGCUUCCAAGUCACUGGGAUUAAAGGUGUGUGUCCCAUGCCUUGCUGAAAUGACUUUUAAAUAAAAUCCUUACUCCUUUAGUUAUUUCAUUAUUAAACUACUUCAUACAGAUCCUAGAGCUUAGGGUGCUUCCUGCUUUUAAGUACCAAUUCCAGGGACAGAGGCUGUAAAUUAAUAAAUUAAUGAGUUAAGUAUUAUUAUAGUGAACAUUUUUCACAUUUAGAAGAGAGGUGAACUCUGCUGGAGAGAGGCAAGCUUCCUUGAGGUGAUAUUUGAUUAGUUUUAAAGGAUAAUCAGGAUUCUGCCCAUUCGAGAAUAUGCAAAACCAUUAAAGUCAAAUGGAAUAAUGUGCAAAAGAACAGAGGUAUGAAGAGAAUAUGUUUAGUAGGUAUCCAAAUAGACAAGGGAACCUUCUCUUUGUAGACACAUUUCAUCUAAUAAGUGAUUAAAAUAAAAUAUCACCAUUUUGCAGUCCUUAAUAAACAGGUCUUGGCAUCAAGUACCAAUAGCUACUAACAUGUGUCACAAGACACAACUUGUAAAGUAGGUAAAAGAAAAAAAAAUAGGACUGGGGGUGUGGCUCAGUGGUAGAGUGAGUGCCCCAAGUUCUAUCCCUAGAACCAUUAGAGAGAAAAGCCUCUAGAUUCAACUACUGUUUUAUAGGAAAAUCAAAGGAUAGGGAAAAUAUUGAACUACACCAAUGAAUGUCAUUAGCUAAAUGGUGUGGGGGCAUUGCAAAAUAAAUAACCAAGUCCCUUAAUAAAUUAAUUAUAAGAAAAAAAAUGGAGGGAGUCCUGUAGAUUAAAAGACAUUGAUCUCAAUGCAUGGGUUUUACUUGGAUCAUGAUAUAUAGAUGACAUUUUAUAAGAUAAUUGGAGACAAUUAAUCUUUAAAUCCCAGAUAUUUGAUGUUACAAAGGGAUGAUUCUUUUUUUUUAGAUGUGAUGGUGAUAUUGUAGAUUAUAAUGACUUCUUGCAAAUUUGAGCAAUAUGCUGAAAUUUUAAUAGAUGAAAUGUCAUGAUGAGAAAAUUUGCUUCUAAGUAGUGUGGGAAAGAGUGGACAGGGACGUAAAUGAAACAUGGUUGGCUUUGAGUUGGUAAUUGAAGCUGGGUUAUGGGUAUAUGGAGGUUCAUUAUAGUGUUCUAUUUGAUUUUUAUGUAGAGUUGAGAAGCUCUGUAAUAAAAAGUGUUUUUUUUUAAUGGUAAAUUUGAGAACUAAUAGUUCCAUGUGGCUGAGGCACACGGGGACCUAGGGAGCAGCAGAAAGUAGGGUUGACAGGGGGCCAGUGGCAGCCUAGGUGAUGCUUGGGUUAUGAAGUUCUUUUACUGCCAUAGGAAGGCAAAUGGAUUUCUGACCACCUGAGACCCAGAAAUCUGUGGUGGGUCUUCUGGAUUAGCCACAAGGAUGGCAUGAGAGGAGCUCAACAGAGGGGACACUGGGUCACAUUUUUAACAAGAACAGGUUUGCUUCUAACUUUUAUAAAAUGUGACUUCUGGGUAAUAUUUCAUUUAAAAACAGGAUUCUGGAGAAAUUAAUUUUUUUUCUAUAGCCAUUGAGGGAACAGUUUAAAGGCAAUAGUUUGAGUUAUAGUGCAGAAGAUUUUAGAAUGGAAGUGCAGAACACAGGGAAAUCAACCAUGAGGCUAUUGCAAUACCUCAAAUGAAUGAGAAAUUUAAGGGGAAUUUAGCUAAUGGAGAUUUGGUCAGGGAGAUAGAUCUUUAGUGAUAAUUGUAGUAGUCAUUUCCCAGACCACAAUCCCUGAAAGGACAAUAAAGAGGGUAUGAUAAUAUGCUCACUUUUCAGUAAUAACAGAUGGAACCACUCUGAGCACAUACUGGGGUAUGGGCUGGAACAGAGCUCCCUCUUCUAUCCUGCUAUUGGCAGAGCACCACAACUCGCCAACCCCUUGCUGCAGUUGCAGUGUCAGGAGCAGAAUCUCCUUUCUAAUCUUUUGGGCACCAUGGGGUAGGGAAUAACACCAGUUGUCUGGCUCACAGUAACCACUUCUAUCAGUUGCUCCUGUUUCAAUUUUAGUAGCAUCCCAUCCACACACCACAUACCACACACCACACACAUGUAUUUAACAGUACUCUACCUUCUAACAGCAGCUUAAACUCCAGACUGUAAGACCCCCAGAGUUAACCAUUUUCCCUUUUCUCUACAACCUUGGAGUUUUCCAACUAGAAAAAUCCACUGACCUUCCUUCUAUUAAUUUCUCCCCGAGCUAAUAUCUGUCUGAUCCCUGUGCCUUUAAAGCACACGGACAUACACUAAUGCACAAAGUUGCCUCUAUCUAAUGAAAAUAAACUAUUAACGUUUCAGACUUACUGGUGAAAAUCUUCUAGGUGCAUCUUCAUGAGUCUCUACCCCACUGGCUUCCUCUCUGCUGGUUUUGUGUGUAGUUUUUACUUUUCCUUUUUCCCUUCCAACAUGAUGGCUUGAAUGAGGCCUCCUUAGUUCUGACCUUUUGCUUGUUAAUACAGUUCUUUUUUUUUAAUUUUUAUUUUUUAGUUGUUGAUGGACCUUUAUUUUUAUUUAUUUGUAUGUGGUGCUGAGAAUCGAACCCAGUGCCUCACACAUGCUAAGCAAGCGUUCUAUCACUAAGCAACAACCCCAGCCCGUUAAUACAGUUCUUAAGCCCUCUUGGAUUAUACAACUCCUUGAAAUCUAAUGAUAGAUAUGGACCUUCUCCAGAAAAAUUCCCACACACGGUGUUUUGCUUACAAUUUGAGCGAUUUUCAAGGCUGUGCCUUAUGCAUCAGAUGGACUUGGCUACGGAGGGUUCCUUGAUAAAAUUGCAGUAUUCUUGGUCCUACUCCAGACCUAUUAAAUCAGAAUUUCUGGUGUUAGAAUCAGCAGUUUAAAUAAUCUCCCUGGUAAUUCUCAAGUCCACUAAAAUUUGAGAGAUUCUACUCUGAAGACUUAGUUUGUCUUUAUGGUCUAUCUCAUCUUCCCAUCCAAGUUACUUAACUCUGGCAACAGGGGUUCAAAUUCUGGAAUCCAAGCCUCAUCCCAAGAGAACAAUUACUUUCCUCUAGGGCUAAAAAGUGAACCCCUUUCUUGGAGAUGCUCUAAAUAGGACAAUGGCUCUGAGUUUCUUUCAUUUCCAAGAGCAGUUCUGAAUUCGGGGAGCCGAAUCUCAUGUCCCAGAAAAACCACACUUCAUUCCUUCCUUCUAGCCAUUUUCAUCAGUUCUUUCUGUGCUCAUCUGCCUUCAUCCAUCCUGGAACCUCCCAAGCAAGAUGCUUUGUGCUUCUGUGUGUUUGUUUCAUCUUAGGUGUAUUAUUCUUGUGGGAUAGCCAGCAAUCUACAGCUAGAGAGUCUUGUAAGCAGAGUUAGAGGGAUGCAGUAAAAAGCUUUGCAGAGUUAAGCCUACAUCUAGCAAGUCCAGCUACUUCCUUGAGGUUCAAAACUGAUAAUAGCAGAGAUCAUAUGGCUAACUUCCUUUUGAGUCUUUUUACUGGCUAUGAAAUGUUUAACAAUGUAAUUGACAAUAAUUUAAAAAGUAUGAAAAGUUACUUUUUUAAAAGCACAGGAUAAAUAAAUUAUAAUCCUGGGUCCCACCAUACAGAGGCAACCAUUAAUAUUUUUACAUUCAUUCAUCUAGUUUUUUCCUAUGUUUUAAAUAAUAUAAUAGAGCUUAUAUUACAUAUAAAGCGCAGCUAUCUGCUUUUUGUGUCCUACAUUGUUUUAUAACAUUUCUAAACUGAUUCUUUAAAACCAUAUUUUUUUUCAUGGCUGCAUAAAUAUACCAUUAUUUAUUUAACCUUUGCUCAGUUGUUGGAUACUUAAAUGUUAUACCUAUGUAUAGUAUUACAAAUAUUCUGUAAUAAACAUAUUUGUGCCUAAA